GAGACAUUGCUGAGGGGGAACAUGGAUGAAAUCACAAAGGAUCUCCUGGAGAUCAGGAAGAGAAAGUGUUAAUUCCAGGAUACGAGGUGUAUAAAAAGGUCACCAUAAAACUAAUAAAUACACUGACGUUAUCUUUGAAGAUUCCCAAAGACGAGAAGAACUAUAAUCACUUCUAUUGUUCCUGUAACCCCAGCAAUUUCAGCAACUCAGGAAUGAUAAAGGCCCUGAAUUCCUGGUGUUGCUGCUCCCUAGUCUCCUCAUCUGGCUGCUUCUGUGUGCUAAACUGGAACCCUAC